AAUGGGCGAAAGCCUGACGGAGCGACGCCGCGUGGUGGAUGAAGUACUUAGGUACGUAAACACCUUUUAUGAGUGAAGAAGUAUAUUGACAUUAGCUCAUGAAUAAGGGGCUCCUAACUCUGUGCCAGCAGGAGCGGUAAUACAGAGGCCCCAAGCAUUAUCCGGAUUCACUGGGCGUAAAGGGUGCGUAGGCGGUUAUAUUAGUCAGAUGUUAAAUCCUUGGGCUCAACCCAAGAAUCGCAUUUGAAACGGUAUAACUAGAAUUAGUCAGAGGUUAGCAGAGCUCUCGGUGUAGGGGUGAAAUCCGUUGAUAUCGAGGGAAAUACCAAAUGCGAAGGCAGCUAACUGGGGCUCAAUUGACGCUGAGGCACGAAAGCGUGGGUAGCGAACGGGAUU
rnacentral:rRNA from 1 species